GCCAAUACAAAACUCCUCCGGCUUUCUCAUCUUGGGCUGUCCCAAAAUGGAAGUACAGAACCAGGAGGAGUGUAAUCGUAUUCUGAAAGAAGUAUUUGGGGAUUCUUCAUCAGAAUUAGUAUCAGAACCAGAAUCAGAAGAAGACGACGAUGAUAUCAAGACCCCUAAUUCUAUUAAUCCUCCAUCUGAAUGGAUCAAAAUCAAAGAAAUUAAGGGUUUAUGGUUAUUCAAAGAUUUUCUCCCUUUACAACAACAAGCUUCACUGCUUUCAGCAAUCAAAAAUGAGGGAUGGUUUUCUGAAGAAAAAGAAGAAGAACCCUCCUCUCAAAAUCAGGCAAUGAGAUUUGGUGAUCUUCCAUCAUGGGCUAUUCAACUUUCUAACUCUAUUCGCGAAACAAUUUGUUUCAAUGGUGAUGGUGAUGGGGAUGAUGUUUUGCCGGCUAAUUUGCUGUGGAGAGAGCCACUCUUUGAUCAACUCAUAGCUAAUGCUUACCAACCAGGUGAGGGAAUAUGUGCUCAUAUAGACUUGAUGAGGUUUGAGGACGGAAUUGCCAUCGUCUCUUUAGAAUCUGAAUGUGUGAUGCACUUCACUCGACUUGAAACGGAAAUGUACGCAUCCGAUUGCAUUGAGAAGGGAGAGGAAAAUGAAGAUCGUCAGCCUUUUGUUACAAAGAUCCCUGUUCUUUUGACACCAGGGUCUCUAAUUGUUAUGAGUGGAGAAGCAAGAUACCAAUGGAAACAUGAAAUUAACCGAAAGCCAGGUUUUCAGUUGUGGGGAGGACAAGAGAUCCGUCAACAAAAGAGAAUUUCCGUCACAUUAAGGAAGCUUUGUGAGACGAAGUAAGCAUAUGUAUGUUGUUUAUCCCUGCUGGUUGUUUCGCUAUCUGCAGUAUGCUUCUUGUUUGUGAUGUAAUUUGUUGGGGGCGAGGACUAAGGCACUACAAAAUCCAGUGUAACAGAUGUAAUCAACACUGUAGUUCCAUAUGUGAAACUGAACUUUGUUUGGGGUCUAAUAGUAUGUAAUCACGCAGGUGAAAGCAAUGGAAUUAGAGCAUGUCCUACAUCGGCACUAAACUGUAAGCAGGAUGAAGCUAAGGCAGUUCUCGAACCGAUGUGUAUACCAAUGAUGCAGAAAUUGAAAAGCAGUCGAGAUUAGUUUCUAAUGGUAGCGGCCAGACAACUGUAGAGAUAUGGCAUUCACAUAUAACAGUUUUUCCAUCAUUAUGGUGUUUCGAUGGAGAAGAGAGUUUUGGCCUUUUGGGUUAUUAAUUUGCAAAAGAGAAAGUCUAGACUGUCCAGGGGAUUUCUCUUGCAGGACCAGCUCUCGAUCAGUCUAGAAUCUCUGUUUGCAAAAUGCUAGACUCAACGUCGGGGUGACCUAGUUGCGGGACUGCCCGCAAUAUCCAACCCACGGUAGGUUUAGCAUUGUUGUUUGGAUUAUUAAUUCUGCCAAUCUUGCUAGACCGACCAGGAGUUGGAUCACUUGGUAUUACGAUAUGGGUGGGACUCAAGCUCACGGUAAAAAUCCCCGCCCUCUGCUAUCUGUAAUUUUCGUAAAUUUGCCGUUAGGAUUUUGUCUGUUGCAGUACACAAGGGGAAUGGGAAAAUAUAAUGAUAUACGCCAGUCAUGGAACAACACAGAACCAACCUUCUUUUCUGGUCAAUUCAAUCAGUGCUAAUUUUCACUGUUUUUUCUCGUAUUUCUCUUAACUCUGAAGUUCAUGCAUGUCUAUAUGGUUGUCUGAUUAAUUAGUUCAUGCAUGACUAUAUGGUUGUCUGAUUAAUUAGUUCAUGUAUGAUUAUAUGGUUGUCUGAUUAGUUAGUUCUCUUGGAAUCCACUGUUUGGCAUUAUCCAUGGUGUUAGUUUAUGCUUUAGGUGAUAAUUGUAAUAUGGAAGGGUUCGCUUUACACCCUUGCUAUUCUUGAUAUUUAGAAGCUUGAUUUUGAUGACAUGCUUGUUAGGUUGUUUGUAGUCUCAGCUUCAGGGGUGAAUGGCCACUUCGUUCUCCCAGGUUCUUUCCAACCUUCGUUUGCUGCAUGUCGACGAUGUUGUUCAACAACAGACGUCACUCUGCCUGCGUGUGCAGGAGAACCAGAGUGCUGACCUUUUACGGAUUGUUUCAGCAUGCUACUGAUGACCACCAGGGACAGUUAUACGACUCUUGUCGUGGAACUCUUGUAUCCAUACUGAAAUCAAUCGCAUUCUUUAAUAGAACAAGGAAGCUAUUCGGGAUGCAGGAGGUAAGUUGAAACUCAAUACAGGGUGGUCUCUCUUAUCUAAACUUUAUGGGAUGGAGAAGAACGUCUUUCGGCGGCUUUUCCAGAGCUCCCUCUUGCAAUAAAUUAGCUUAUUAGGGCGAUGAUCAUCUAUGACUUCUCAAAUAUGACAGCGCAAUAGAUUUCGAAUCAAGAACACAUUUGGUGGCGAUGAUUAUUCCUGUGAGGUCGAUGAUGACAAUGGCAAGUUGACUUCUCGUUGACAGGAAUUCAGGGAAUCAUUUGAACUCAUUGCUCAUGUAAAACCCAAGUCCUUGCACAAUGGCAUUUUCGCGGAGUUCAAAGACGAGGUAGCUAAAGGCUGUGUUGUAAAAGGCGAGCGCCUGGCAAAAAAAGGCGCCCAGGCGCCAAAGUAAGCCUGCAAGGUGAGUUUUCCAAUUUUUCUGCGGCGCCUAGGCGCGCCUCGCCUUGCCUAGCGCCUUUUACAACAUAGGCUACAGGUACGGGUCAUGGUGUUAUCGCUUUAGCCGUGAUGCAUAAGGUGCAAGCAGGCAUUGCAUUCGAUUGUGUAUUUUUCUUGCAAUUAGCAGGAGAGGAGAUAUAGUUGGAAGACAUACAAUGCGCAGAUCCAAUCAUGUAUAGGAGUUGCAAAAAGAUUCUGGAGAUGGAUGCUGACUUUGUUUAUUCAGAUGCUAUGGAGUUAACAUUUGUCAGGGAAAACGGACGUAGGUAAACCAUGGAGUUAUGCUCUGGAGGGAACGACAUUGUUGUCACUAAUAAGAACAAAGAAUAAUAUGUACAUCUUCUUAUUCAGCAUAUCUUCGUCAAAUCAAUCUCCGCAAAGGUUGCCUAAUUAUAGCCAUCUUGAUGGUUUUCAAGUGGUCUGUCCUCCUUGUAAAAAUAGACUGCUCUGGAGCAUCCAGAACGAAAGGUUUGGUUAUAGAAGGAUCUGCAGAAACAAAUGUUAGCUACAGUGUAUUACUGAUUCCUUUAUAAAUGUCAAACACUUGUAAAGACAUUCUCUUUCGUUAACUUUUGUGUGCUUUUCUUCAAGGAUGUUGUAUUUGUACGAGGCAUUGUCAUCUUGAAGUAUAUUACAUGUCUCCUUAAUUUCCAUGUACUUGUAACUAUGUUUAUUUCUUAGUUCAAGGUGAUCGAAAUUUUUGAA